rnacentral:rRNA from 1 species
CGGGCGGGCAGGCUAUACAUGCAAGUCGAACGAGAUUAAGGGGCUUGCUCCUUAUGAAAGUGGCGCACGGGUGCGUAACGCGUAUGCAACCUACCUCAAUCAGGGGGAUAGCCCGAAGAAAUUCGGAUUAACACCGCAUAAAAACACAGGAUAGCAUUAUCUAAUGUUCAAAUAUUUAUAGGAUUGAGAUGGGCAUGCGUGUCAUUAGCUAGUUGGCGGGGUAACGGCCCACCAAGGCGACGAUGACUAGGGGAUCUGAGAGGAUGACCCCCCACACUGGUACUGAGACACGGACCAGACUCCUACGGGAGGCAGCAGUAAGGAAUAUUGGUCAAUGGAGGCAACUCUGAACCAGCCAUGCCGCGUGCAGGAAGACAGCCCUCUGGGUCGUAAACUGCUUUUAUUCGGGAAUAAACCUAUUUACGUGUAGAUAGCUGAAUGUACCGAAGGAAUAAGGAUCGGCUAACUCCGUGCCAGCAGCCGCGGUAAUACGGAGGAUCCAAGCGUUAUCCGGAUUUAUUGGGUUUAAAGGGUGCGUAGGCGGCUUAUUAAGUCAGGGGUGAAAGACGGUGGCUCAACCAUCGCAGUGCCUUUGAUACUGAUGAGCUUGAAUGAACUAGAGGUAGGCGGAAUGUGACAAGUAGCGGUGAAAUGCAUAGAUAUGUCACAGAACACCGAUUGCGAAGGCAGCUUACUAUGGUUUUAUUGACGCUGAGGCACGAAAGCGUGGGGAUCAAACAGGAUUAGAUACCCUGGUAGUCCACGCCCUAAACGAUGAAUACUCGCUGUUAGCGAUAUACAGUUAGCGGCUAAGCGAAAGCGUUAAGUAUUCCACCUGGGGAGUACGCCCGCAAGGGUGAAACUCAAAGGAAUUGACGGGGGCCCGCACAAGCGGAGGAGCAUGUGGUUUAAUUCGAUGAUACGCGAGGAACCUUACCCGGGCUUGAAAGUUAGUGAAUGAUCUAGAGAUAGAUCAGUGAGCAAUCACACGAAACUAGGUGCUGCAUGGCUGUCGUCAGCUCGUGCCGUGAGGUGUUGGGUUAAGUCCCGCAACGAGCGCAACCCCUAUGUUAGUUGCCAGCACGUAAAGUGGGGGACUCUAAACAGACUGCCUGUGCAAACAGAGGAGGGAAGGAGGGGGACGA